rnacentral:rRNA from 1 species
AGUCGAGGGGCAUCAGUUUGGUUUGCUUGCAAACCAAAGCUGGCGACCGGCGCACGGGUGAGUAACACGUGUCCAACCUACCUCAUACUCGGGGAUAGCCUUUCGAAAGAAAGAUUAAUAUCCGAUAGCAUAUAUUUCCCGCAUGGGUUUUAUAUUAAAGAAAUUCGGUAUGAGAUGGGGAUGCGUUCCAUUAGUUUGUUGGGGGGGUAACGGCCCACCAAGACUACGAUGGAUAGGGGUUCUGAGAGGAAGGUCCCCCACAUUGGAACUGAGACACGGUCCAAACUCCUACGGGAGGCAGCAGUGAGGAAUAUUGGUCAAUGGACGCGAGUCUGAACCAGCCAAGUAGCGUGAAGGAUGACUGCCCUAUGGGUUGUAAACUUCUUUUAUAUGGGAAUAAAGUUG